rnacentral:rRNA from 1 species
CGCUAGCUACAGGCUUAACACAUGCAAGUCGAGGGGCAUCAGGAAGAAAGCUUGCUUUCUUUGCUGGCGACCGGCGCACGGGUGAGUAACACGUAUCCAACCUGCCCUUUACUCGGGGAUAGCCUUUCGAAAGAAAGAUUAAUACCCGAUAGCAUAAUGAUUCCGCAUGGUUUCAUUAUUAAAGGAUUCCGGUAAAGGAUGGGGAUGCGUUCCAUUAGGUUGUUGGUGAGGUAACGGCCCACCAAGCCUUCGAUGGAUAGGGGUUCUGAGAGGAAGGUCCCCCACAUUGGAACUGAGACACGGUCCAAACUCCUACGGGAGGCAGCAGUGAGGAAUAUUGGUCAAUGGGCGCUAGCCUGAACCAGCCAAGUAGCGUGAAGGAUGAAGGCUCUAUGGGUCGUAAACUUCUUUUAUAUAAGAAUAAAGUGCAGUAUGUAUACUGUUUUGUAUGUAUUAUAUGAAUAAGGAUCGGCUAACUCCGUGCCAGCAGCCGCGGUAAUACGGAGGAUCCGAGCGUUAUCCGGAUUUAUUGGGUUUAAAGGGAGCGUAGGUGGACUGGUAAGUCAGUUGUGAAAGUUUGCGGCUCAACCGUAAAAUUGCAGUUGAUACUGUCAGUCUUGAGUACAGUAGAGGUGGGCGGAAUUCGUGGUGUAGCGGUGAAAUGCUUAGAUAUCACGAAGAACUCCGAUUGCGAAGGCAGCUCACUGGACUGCAACUGACACUGAUGCUCGAAAGUGUGGGUAUCAAACAGGAUUAGAUACCCUGGUAGUCCACACAGUAAACGAUGAAUACUCGCUGUUUGCGAUAUACAGUAAGCGGCCAAGCGAAAGCAUUAAGUAUUCCACCUGGGGAGUACGCCGGCAACGGUGAAACUCAAAGGAGUUGACGGGGGCCCGCACAAGCGGAGGAACAUGUGGUUUAAUUCGAUGAUACGCGAGGAACCUUACCCGGGCUUAAAUUGCAGUGGAAUGAUGUGGAAACAUGUCAGUGAGCAAUCACCGCUGUGAAGGUGCUGCAUGGUUGUCGUCAGCUCGUGCCGUGAGGUGUCGGCUUAAGUGCCAUAACGAGCGCAACCCUUAUCUUCAGUUACUAACAGGUUAUGCUGAGGACUCUGGAGAGACUGCCGUCGUAAGAUGUGAGGAAGGUGGGGAUGACGUCAAAUCAGCACGGCCCUUACGUCCGGGGCUACACACGUGUUACAAUGGGGGGUACAGAAGGCAGCUACCUGGUGACAGGAUGCUAAUCCCAAAAGCCUCUCUCAGUUCGGAUCGAAGUCUGCAACCCGACUUCGUGAAGCUGGAUUCGCUAGUAAUCGCGCAUCAGCCGCGGCGCGGUGAAUACGUUCCCGGGCCUUGUACACACCGCCCGUCAAGCCAUGGGAGCCGGGGGUACCUGAAGUACGUAACCGCAAGGAUCGUCCUAGGGUAAAACUGG